CACGUAGGGUGCGAGCGUUGUCCGGAAUUAUUGGGCGUAAAGAGCUCGUAGGCGGUGUGUCGCGUCGGCCGUGAAAACCUGGGGCUUAACUCUGGGCGUGCGGUCGAUACGGGCAUCACUGGAGUUCGGCAGGGGAGACUGGAAUUCCUGGUGUAGCGGUGAAAUGCGCAGAUAUCAGGAGGAACACCGGUGGCGAAGGCGGGUCUCUGGGCCGAUACUGACGCUGAGGAGCGAAAGCAUGGGGAGCGAACAGG
rnacentral:rRNA from 1 species